rnacentral:rRNA from 1 species
GGAAUUUUGCGCAAUGGGGGAAACCUUGACGCAGCAACGCCGCGUGGAGGACGAAGGCUUUCGAGUCGUAAACUCCUGUCCUCGGGGACGAAAAAAAUGACGGUACCCGGGGAGGAAGCCCCGGCUAACUCCGUGCCAGCAGCCGCGGUAAUACGGGGGGGGCGAGCGUUGUUCGGAAUUACUGGGCGUAAAGGGCGCGCAGGCGGCCCGAGAAGUUCUGGGUGAAAGCCCCCGGCUCAACCGGGGAAGUGCCUGGAAAACCAUCGGGCUGGAGUGCUGGAGAGGCAAGCGGAAUUUCUGGUGUAGCGGUGAAAUGCGUAGAUAUCAGAAGGAACACCGGCGGCGAAGGCGGCUUGCUGGACAGACACUGACGCUGAGGCGCGAAAGCCAGGGGAGCAAAC